UCCAUCCGCUUCCAUUGCUUCACGUAAUCGUGCCUGCAGAUCCGCCUUUUGCCCGCUUAUCGGCAAAUUACGCUCCUCCAGUUCCUUUUUUAAUUGCUGAAUUCUCAAUUCUCCGAAUUUAACCAUCUUGAAUUUGGAUUAUUUGACAAUCCCACUUCUGACACCAAUUGUUACGAAUUUACUCUUGCUAGUUUACUUUGUUAGGUUCGUAUCUCUGGAUUGACAAAUAAAAUCAACACUGUUUAAUUUAAUUCAACAACUCUUUAUUUCACAACUCGUCUACACUAUAACAGUUUACUCUUAGCACUGAUUGAUUACGUUGGCGCUGCCACGGCUUAUAUAGCCACGCACUUCUCGCUGAUGCCGACGUGUCCUUCUAGAAUAUCGCGUCUGGAAAUUACCAGAACAUACGGCUAUACGGCGCCAGACGCAAGCAGACAGUCGCGGCGCCAGACUCAGCAAUUGUUUACCUAGACAAGCAGACAGUGCGGCGCCAGAUGUCUAUUGUUUCGACGAGCAGACAGCCGUGGCGCCAGAUGUCUACAACAAGACAAAUGCUAUUCCAUAUACCUACAGCUAUUGUUCAUAAUCAGGGAUGCAUAUAGUAAUACAAAUAUAACUUAAUACUACUUUUGUAACAGUAUAUACCUUCGCUAUACGAUUUAUAUUCAAGUGUUACUGCGGAAUCGACAAAACUAUCCGAAACUCAUUUGUACAAGCUUUAUCCAAGCCAGCCCACUAUCGGUUAAGUCACCGCUUAGUUUCUAUGAUAAACAAUUAGUAAUCCUAACCGAAACUCUUGUGUACUUGCAAUUAUUCAUCCCUUAUGGGUUUUUACCCGGUAAUUUAACCGAUAGUUGAGUUGAUGGGAAGGUAUUCUCGCCAAUUCACAUAGAAAUUUAGCUUCGCUUUGCGUCAGCCAGGAAAGUUCCAUGUAGGCUUUUGUAUGAGUACGUUUACAUAAAAAGUUUUCGCCGCGAAGCCAAACAAAUACUUUAAUCCUUUUACGCUUUACCAAGCAACAGUCUUCGAGGUGGCAUGUUCUUUGUUUUCUGCCCAGCGUUGUUUUGGAAUGAAUUGUCACGCAAAGCGAGAAAGGUUUUAUGUGUACAUGGUUUGGGUAGUACAUAGUGCCGAAAAAAUUUCUAUUGAUAAUAAUCGAUAUUUUUUCGGCUCCAACGCCACCUACAUGUCGGUAAGUUUUUAUAGCACAAAGUGGAAGUUUAUAGUCGAUGGGUAUCAGAAAAGACGAAGGGACUGAGAUACGCUUUUGUACGAAUCACAUGCAACUACGCUCACUUCGUUAACAAUUUAUGCUUAACAACGAAGCGAAAAAUGAAUGCUUUGCUUGCAGUGUUUCUCUAUGACAAACGUGGCGAUUGAUGCUUGACAAUACCUGAAAAGAUGAUAAUUGUCCAGCAGUUUACUUCAUGUGGUGAACACAUAGGGCGCGAUAGACUGCAAGCAACAUUUUUCAAAUAUUAAAAUACACAAAUUCUUAAGGACGCAGUUAUUUAGACAGCUGCACGACUACACGACUACAAGCUCUCCGUUGUCGCUCUCGCUAACUUUAAAAUAUUUUUAGAUUUGCCGACGACAGUAGAGAGGGCAACAGAGUUGAGAGUAGAGAAGAGUGAUGCCACUAAUAUGUAAAAUGUAAAAUUAUUCAAAGUUAUAUCAUUUGUAAUAACAAUUGAUAAUAUAAAACAAAAAUAUUUACCUAUUUACUUAAUUUUUGCAUAAAAAAUUUCACUUUGAACAAAGUAUUUAAAUUUCAUUGAGGCGAAAGAUAUUAAUACGGCAUCGACGAAAUUGUGUACAUACAAAAUGGACAGCUGUGUUGUUUUGAGUACAUGCCGGCCAUUGUUAUGUCGCUGCCUUCUUAUAAAUGUUCAUGUAGUCGUAUUCACGACGUCACAUAAAUUCUUGUGCCCUAGGAAAUUGCUGCCUGAAAUUGCUUCUGAACUUAGUAUGGAAAACCGUGAAAACGCCAAAGUAGUGGAUUGGUCCCGAGGAAUGGCUCUCAUUGGUAUUACUGCUUAUCGGUGCAGAGUAUUGCAUGGAGUCAUAAAUUAGAGAAGGCAACAAUUCCAAUUCGGUGUUCUACAAUUAUAAAAAAACUAUAGCAUCGUAUUGAUGGCUGUAUAUGAUGCGAAAUAUACGUUCACUGCACGUAGUAUUGGCAACUAUGGAAGUCAAAGUAUCGGAGAUACUAUCCAUGAAAUUGCGUAACAUUCGAGUAUUACAAUUGGAGACGCUGCAUUGUAAUUUAAUGCGUCCGUUCCCCGAAUUAAUAGCCUUGAUAGACGAGCAAAAUUAAUACGCUUUAAGCAACGUUAAUGAGCACUGAAAUUGUAUGGUGACAGCCGCCAAAUUUGUGCAUGUAGACAGCUGAUUGUGAAAUUUGUUUAUUUAUUUAAAAAUGUUUAAAGUGAAAUAAAAAUGAAUAACAGAAAUUAUUAAUUGAAAUUUCGGUAUUUUUGGAAAAUCAAUAUAAAUUUAACGAAAAAAUUAGUGAAUUAUUAACUACGUGCAAACUGUGCGUUUUUUAUUUUCUGCCAUCUAAAUAUAUUAAAAUUUGUUUUUGUUAAUAUAGUUAUAGCCCUGACAGACGACAGCGCUAAUUUGCAUUAACGCGCUUAAUUUACAUUUACUUGCGCAUUUGACACAUGUUAAUGCGAAUUUGUAAUGCACAAGAAUUUCGUGCAUUUACCGUGCGAUUCUGUAACGUGAGACAGUCUCAAAUCUCUAAAUUUGAGAUUUUAAGUUAGAGACAAUUUUUGAGACUUGAGACGAUUUUGCUAUUCUGUAAGUGACAGUCACAAAAUCUAUUACAUUUCAUCAUUCAGAGAUGUUUUUACACUUGAAUGGAAAUAAAUAUGUCGAUAACAAAUAUUAAAAUAUCUAUAACAUCGUCAAAAACCAUAGUUAUCAAUAAAAAUGAAAAUAUAUGUUGACUUUGUUUCAUAAUAUUUACGAAAUUUAUGUAAAAUUUAUUCAUUUUUAACUUUUUCGUGUUUGAGUUGCUUACAAAAUAUAAAAAUACGACAAUCGAUUAAUAUCUAUGAUGAUCUCUAUUCAGUAUAUUCAAAAUGACAGACAAGAGCUCUUUUUAGUUUUGUGACCGGCUAACUACCAGGUCUCAAUAUUUUGAGACUAACGCUAGAGACUGUUUAGUGAAUAGUAACUAGUCUCAAAUUGAGACUUUGCCUCAAAAUGUCUCAAAUAGAGACUGGAGACUGGUUACAGAAUCCCGCUAUUAGCUGAAUUUACCAAAUUUGAGUAAGCAACACUGCUCAAAAA